GUGGGGAAUAUUGGACAAUGGGCGAAAGCCUGAUCCAGCCAUGCCGCGUGUGUGAAGAAGGUCUUCGGAUUGUAAAGCACUUUAAGUUGGGAGGAAGGGCAGUAAGUUAAUACCUUGCUGUUUUGACGUUACCGACAGAAUAAGCACCGGCUAACUUCGUGCCAGCAGCCGCGGUAAUACGAAGGGUGCAAGCGUUAAUCGGAAUUACUGGGCGUAAAGCGCGCGUAGGUGGUUUUGUAAGUUGGAGGUGAAAUCCCCGGGCUCAACCUGGGAACUGCCUCCAAAACUGCAUGACUCGAGUACGGUAGAGGGUAGUGGAAUUUCCUGUGUAGCGGUGAAAUGCGUAGAUAUAGGAAGGAACACCAGUGGCGAAGGCGACUACCUGGACUGAUACUGACACUGAGGUGCGAAAGCGUGGGGAGCAAACAGGAUUAGAAACCCCUGUAGUCC
rnacentral:rRNA from 1 species